rnacentral:rRNA from 1 species
AUGACUAAACUUGAGUUGAAUGUUAUUGGCUUUGAGCACAUAAAAGAUUUGUAUGCUAAUGAUCCAUCUUUUGCAUCUCAUUAUGCUAAAUGUUUGACGCAUACAUCUUGGGAACAAUAUUGCCUCAAGGAUGGUUAUCUUAUGAGAGCUAACAAAAUAUGCAUUCCCGAGUCUUCUCUUCGUUUGCUCCUUUUGCAAGAGGCUCAUGGAGGCGGACUCAUGGGACAUUUUGGACGCGACAAGACCUUCGCCACACUCUCCAAGAACUACUUUUGGCCCAAGAUGUUUCGAGACGUCUCACGCUUCACCACCCGAUGCUCUACAUGCCGCAAAGCUAAGUCAAAAGCUCAAUCUCAUGGUCUUUACACGCCUCUUCCUAUUCCUUAUCAACCUUGGGAAGACAUUAGCAUGGAUUUUGUACUUGGUUUGCCUAGAACUCAAAAUGGAAAGGAUUCCGUUUUUGUUGUUGUGGAUAGAUUUUCUAAGAUGGCACAUUUCAUUCCUUGCAACAAGGUAGACGAUGCUUCACAUAUUGCAAAUCUCUUUUGUAGGGAAAUCUUGCGCCUCCAUGGAGUACCAAAGACAAUCGUCUCCGACCGCGAUGUCAAGUUCUUGAGUUACUUUUGGAAGACUCUAUGCGCCAAGCUCGGAAUCAAGCUCUUGUUCUCAUCCGCAUACCAUCCUCAAACCGACGGCCAAACGGAGGUGACGAACCGAACACUAUCCACUCUACUUCGUGUGUUGAUCAAAAAGAACAUCAAGGAGUGGGAGGCGUGUCUACCCAUCGCCGAGUACGCUUACAACCGUGCAAGACAUUCGACCACCGGCAAGUCACCCUUCGAGGUCGUCUACGGCUUCAACCCAUUGUCCCCAUUGGACAUACUACCUCUUCCUCUACAAGAGCGCACCAACCUCGACGCAAGUGCCCGUGCAAGCUACAUCAAGAAAAUGCAUGAAGAUACAAGAAACACAAUCGAGCGCCAAGUACAACGACUAGCGUCCAAGCUCAACAUCAACAAGCAACCCAUGUUAUUCAACAUCGGAGACCUACUGUGGCUGCACCUUCGCAAGGACCGCUUCCCCAACGAACGCAAGUCCAAGCUUCUCCCUCGAGCCGACGGACCAUUCAAGGUGCUAGCACGCUACAACAACAACGCUUACAAGAUCGACCUCCCACGCGACAAGUACAACGUGAGCGACAUCUUCAACAUCUCUGAUCUAUCCCCAUACCAUGGUGAUGAAGAUUUCGAUCCGAGGUCGGAUCUUUCACAAGGGGGGGGAGAUGAUGCUGAGCAUCCCAUGAUCAUCCCCAUGGACACAUCUACAUCCUCUACAACACCACUUGGACCUAUGACUCGAGCACGUGCAAGAGCUCUCGAAACCGAGGUGACAUCUCUCCUCUCUCCAUUCCCUUUCGGUUCACAUGAGACAUGGUUACUACCUCAAACGGAAACGCUAUGCAUACUCAGGUACCAAGGGCUUCACCGUGAAGAAGCUAGGGAGCAAGGAGAACCGGAAGCGGAAGACAUACGUGAAGACGGAGAGGAAAAGCGCCAAGGACCAGACUGGCUGGACGAUCCGGACGGUAGCCCGGAUGAUCCGGACAGAGCCCGGACGAUCCGGACAAAGCCCGGACGAUCCGGACCCCCAUCCGGACGAUCCGGCUAA